ensembl:lncRNA
CUUCAAUUAACAAAAGACAAGUUUGAUGAAAAUGAGGGAGAAAUUCAGAAGCUGCUAAAUGAAUAAAGAACUUCAUAAGCUAUACCAGUAUUUUUAAGAAGGUAGCACUCAAUUCUAUCAAUAGUAUAAUCAAAACUUAGAGAGAUGCAGGAUUUUUGACUUAGUAAAAAGGCAGAUGAAAAUCAAUUUUAUGCUGAUAGCCAUCCAAAGUGUUUUUAUGAUGCACUGAAGACUAUUUAUGGGCCAAAGAUCUAUGAUGCAUUUUAACUACUUGGUGCUGAUAGUGCCACACUGAUUAGUGAUAAGAACAUGGUCUUAGAGAAAUUGGCUGAACACUUCCAUAGUAUUCUCAACAAACCAUCAUCCAUCAAUGCUGAAGCUAUUGACCAUGUACCUCAAGUUGAAAUCAAUCUCUCCUUAGCUGAAGUUCCAACUGAAGAAAAGGUUAUGAACACCAUUAGGCUACUUUCGUGUGAUAAAGCACUGGGUGCUGAUUCUAUUCCAGCUGAGAUUUACAAGGUGAGCAGUACAUCGUUCAUGCAAAAGCUAACUGAAAUUUUCCAGAUUAUAUGGCAAAAAGACAGUAUGCCCCAGGAUAUGCUUCUGGAUAUGCUCAAGAAUGCUCUAUUGUCCAUCUUUUUUAAUAUAUAGGGAACAGAUUGUCCUGUGACAAUCACAGUGAUGUCUCUCUCUUAGUCAUAUUAGCAAAAUUCUUGUCUGAGUCCUACUCAAUACAUUUACCCUACACCUAGAAAAAGAUGAAUUAACUGAGAGCCAGUGUGGCUUCAGAGGUGGUGUUUACUGUCUAACAACUCCAGGGAAAGUUCCAGGAGCACAACAGAGGACUGUUUAUAACAUCUAUAGAUCUUACUAUGUAUGGUCUUUGAUACUGUCACUCAUGAGGAUUUAUGGAAAAUUAUCAAAAUUCAGAACCAGAGAAGUACUUCAGUAUAGACCAUUAAUUUUAUGAUGGCACACUUGCUCAGGUUCUGGACAAUGGGCAAUGCUCUCAAGCUUUCCCAUUCACCAAUGGAGUGAAAAAUGGCUGCCUGCUUCCCCCCAUCCUUUUUAGCAUGAUGUUUUCAACCAUGUUGUCAAAUGUUUUUAAUAAGGACAAACGGAAUUAAAGUCAGAUAGAUACCUGACUGAUGAUAAAUUCUUCAACUUGAAAAGGCUACAAGCCAAAAACAAAGUGGAGGAAGUGCUGGUACAUGAUUUUUGUUAGCACGAUGCAGCCUCCAAAGUAGAAAUGAAAUAAAAUAUGGAUCAUUUCACUGUUGUUUGUGCUAAUUUUGGCCUAACAAUUAACACCAAGAAAACACAGGUUCUCCAUUAGUCAGCAUCACAUAGUUCAUAUAUGGAAAUAUUGGUUACAGUAAAUGAUGCAGUUUUGAAUGCUGUGGAUAAGUUCACCGACCUUGGCAGUAUGUUUUCCAGCUAACUCAAUAUUUGGGAGGCUCCAAAGGAAAGUGUGAGAGAAGAGAGGAAUUAGACUGACUACCAAAUGAAGGACAACAUGUGUGUGUUUUUGUGCAUAUAUAUGUAUAAUUAUUCUAUUUCUGUGUUUCAUGUUUCAAGUCUACUAUUUUUGUCUUUCAGAACAUUAUACUUUGCAAUGUUGUUUUUUUUUUUUUUCUGUUGGAACUUCUAAAUUAAGUACCUUUUAUUGAUCUUAUUUAAUUCUAGUCUUAGAGCUCCAAUUUUCUUCCUCCUUUUUUUGUUCCCUUCUCCUUCUCUUGCUUUUUAGUUCUCAAUUUUUUCCUCAUCUUUGAUAAUUGUGGCACUUACUCAGCACCCUCUCCAAAAUAAACUUUGUGAGGAAGAGACUGACCCUAGUUCGUUCUCCUUUUUCCUGAGACAGAAAAGUCCCUAGGGAUUCCCUUCUAUCUAAUUUUGGUCAAAUCAAACCUUCUCCUUCACCCUUUCUGUUAUUCUCCUUUUAUUUUAUAAUAUGAGCAAAAUUAGCGUCAAAUAAAACAGCAGAUAUGAUGCCAGGCCGAAGUCAGGGAGAAGAGUUCAAUUCUAGUAUCAGGUACUAACUAGGGCUGCAACCCUGGGCAAAUAGUUGAACGCUGUUUUCCUUUGUACCUCAGCUCAUAAAAUGAGACAGAAAAAAAUGGUGAACCAUUCUUGGGUAAGGAAUAAGUUUUGCUCAGAAAAUACCAAGUGGAGCCAUGAAGAAUUGAUCAUGACUGAAACAAUUGAACAACAA